UACAGAGGUCUCAAGCGUUGUUCGGAUUGCAUUAGGGCGUAAGGCGCGUAGGCGGCGGGUAAGUCGGGUGUGAAAUCUCAGAGCUCAACUCUAGAAAUGGCACUUGAUACUGCUCUGCUAGAGGACUGGAGAGGAGAUUGGAAUUCACGGUGUAGCAGUGAAAUGCGUAGAUAUCGUGAGGAAGACCGGGUGGCGAAGGCGGAUCUCUGGACAGUUCCUGACCGGCUGAGGC
rnacentral:rRNA from 1 species